GCGGCUCUGACUGAAGAAAGGAAUGCAGCACUCAUGAUCCUGUUGAAUAGAGAUGACUUCACGUCUAUCCUUGGAGGUUGGAUUCCUUUAUAGCCACCUAUUUCUGGAUCCACCAACCAGGCCUGUCUGCAGUAGCAAUGGAGGUCACAAGUAGUCCUGUGGUUCUAACACAGGAUCUCAGAAUGAGCUGAAGAUCAGUGACCCAAGUGUGACAGGGUAAACUCCCAAGAAUGUCCAUUGAGAGCCUCAAACCAUGUGUCUCCUGGGAAGUGACCUGAGCAGAAGAAAGGGCCCAGAUAAAAGAAGGGGAAGAGAAACACAGAAGAGC